AAUUUCAAAAGGGGAGAGCUAAAUAACUAGAAAAUGCAUUUCCUGCAGAAAAUGCGUGGGAAUGCUGAAUAGCUAAAUUGCAAAAGCAAACCAGG